CCUGAUCAACAUGGAGAAACCCUGUCUCUACUAAAAAUACAAAAUUAGCCAGGCAUGAUGGCACAUGCCGGUAAUCCCAGCUACUUGGGAGGCUGAGACAGAAGAAUUGCUUGAACCCGGGAAGCAGAGGUUGUGUUCAAGCAAGUUUGCUGCUGUUGGAUUUCAUAAAACUUUGACAGAUGAACUGGCUGCCUUACAAAUAACUGGAGUCAAAACAACAUGUCUGUGUCCUAAUUUCGUAAACACUGGCUUCAUCAAAAAUCCAAGUACAAGUUUGGGACCCACUCUGGAACCUGAGGAAGUGGUAAACAGGCUGAUGCAUGGGAUUCUGACUGAGCAGAAAAUGAUUUUUAUUCCAUCUUCUAUAGCUUUUUUAACAACAUUGGAAAGGUAAGUGACAGUUAAGAAACCUUAGAAAUGAAAGGUAAAAAAAAAUUAUCUAUUACAUUUUUUGCUGACAUUUUAAUCAGGCAGUUGAUAAAGUACAGUUAAAUGGAAUUGACUUAAUAAAAAUAACAGGCUCAAUAACAUUGAGGCAAGAUUGAUACAGCUCCUGGGUAAAUGAACU
rnacentral:sRNA from 1 species